UCUGCUCAGCUGUGAGGCACAGAAGGCAAGAUCUGUGAAGACCUCCACCAUGGCCUGGUCCCCUGUACUCCUCACCCUCCUCGUUCAGUGCACAGGAUCCUGGGCUGUGCUGACUCAGCCGCCCUCUGUGUCUGGGGCUCUGGGUGAGAGUGUCACCAUCCCCUGCACUGGAAUCCCUACCAGCAUGGAUUAUGAUGAAGAGGAAUACACAUAUUAUGUGAGCUGGUACCAACAGCUCCCAGGAAAGGUACCCAUUCUCCUCAUCUAUGAACAUAAUAACAGAAAUCCUGGAGUCCCUGAUCGAUUCUCUGGUUCCAAGUCAGGCAGCUCAGCCUCCCUGACCAUCAGUGGCCUUCAGGCUGAAGAUGAGGCUGAUUAUUACUGCCAGUCCACUGACAGUAGCUUCAGUGCUCACACAGUGUGUGGGGCCUUUGGAGGGGGAGCUCCAGCAGCUGUUGAGGCUCAGCCUGUGGUUUCUGCUUCUGAUGUUCCUGCUGCUGCCAUCAUGGGGCCAGGUGCAUAUCCAUACCAGGAGCUGCUCACCAUGCCUGGACAACAGCCUCAAGCCAUGUGUCACUGCAUGCUGCCACUCGAGGUCAGGGUCCACCAUUUCUGA